UACGUAGGGGGCAAGCGUUGUCCGGAUUUAUUGGGCGUAAAGAGCGUGUAGGCGGUUUGGUAGGUCCGCUGUGAAAACUCGAGGCUCAACCUCGAGACGCCGGUGGAAACCAUCAGACUAGAGUCCGGAAGAGGAGAGUGGAAUUCCUGGAUGUAGCGGUGAAAUGCGCAGAUAUCAGGAGGAACACCGGUGGCGAAGGCGGGUCUCUGGGCCGAAAUUGACGCUGAGGAGCGAAAGCGUGGGGAGCAAACAGG
rnacentral:rRNA from 1 species